GGGUUUACCCAUUGGUCAGGCUUAAUUGUCUGCACUGGUGAGAUAAAUCUCUACCUUCUGAGGAACUUUCAUGUCAUUAGUUUGGUGUCCUGCGGAUCCAGGACCUUUACCUUGAAAAAAUUAGAGUGUUUAAAGCAGGCAUUUUUGCUCGAAUACAUUAGCAUGGAAUAAUAGAAUAGGACGGCAUGGUUCUAUUUUGUUGGUUUCUAGGAUCACCGUA
rnacentral:rRNA from 1 species